rnacentral:rRNA from 1 species
UACGUAGGGUGCGAGCGUUAAUCGGAAUUACUGGGCGUAAAGCGUGCGCAGGCGGUUGUGUAAGACAGGGGUGAAAUCCCCGGGCUUAACCUGGGAACUGCACUUGUGACUGCACAGCUGGAGUACGGCAGAGGGGGAUGGAAUUCCGCGUGUAGCAGUGAAAUGCGUAGAUAUCUGGAGGAACACCGGUGGCGAAGGCGACAUCCUGGACCGGUAUUGACGCUGAGGCGCGAAAGCCAGGGGAGCAAACGGG